CGCCAUUAUUGUGUUUCCAGCUGCUGAGUGACAACAGAGACUUCCUGACGCAAGUAGACGAAGCCAUAACUCGCGCGAGAAACUCAACUUAUCCUGGCAGAUGCCAAAUUGUCUGUGCCCACGUGAUGUUGACGUCGAGGGAUUGUAUUUUGCUGCAUUAGCUGACGUCACCCUGGCGUACUGAUGACGACUGUUCAACAUGGCGCCCACCCGCAUUCACUGUUCCAUUUUGAAACUCGACCUGAAGAAAUAAUACAAUAAAAUCACACGAAACAUUACUUCCAUUUAUCUCACAGUUAUAAUAACCUGUGCAAAGAAGACUUAACAGACUUGCUCAGAGGGCCUUGAAUCAACAUGACGCGUUCUAUUUUCAGAGAAAGCUUAAAAAGGCUUACAAACUGUUACUGCAAGAAAUUACAGAACUUAUGUGUCUGUUUUAUUUAAAAAGGAUAGCAUUCCACCCACAAAAAUUUCUCGCCUAUUUUACAAGCAUAUUAUUAUUAUUAUAUAAUAUGGUACAUUUAUAUAUUUAGUUUCAUUUUUUGUUUUACUUUUAUUAUUAUUGAAAUAAAUUAAUUACUUAUUAUA